AGCUCGGAUCAGCANGUACAUAGGUAUUGAUUGGUGCUUGCAUCAUGAUUUACAUUUGAGUGAGUGGCGAACUGGUGAGUAACACGUGGGAAACCUGCCCAGAAGCGGGGGAUAACACCUGGAAACAGAUGCUAAUACCGCAUAACAACUUGGACCGCAUGGUCCGAGCUUGAAAGAUGGCUUCGGCUAUCACUUUUGGAUGGUCCCGCGGCGUAUUAGCUAGAUGGUGGGGUAACGGCUCACCAUGGCAAUGAUACGUAGCCGACCUGAGAGGGUAAUCGGCCACAUUGGGACUGAGACACGGCCCAAACUCCUACGGGAGGCAGCAGUAGGGAAUCUUCCACAAUGGACGAAAGUCUGAUGGAGCAACGCCGCGUGAGUGAAGAAGGGUUUCGGCUCGUAAAACUCUGUUGUUAAAGAAGAACAUAUCUGAGAGUAACUGUUCAGGUAUUGACGGUAUUUAACCAGAAAGCCACGGCUAACUACGUGCCAGCAGCCGCGGUAAUACGUAGGUGGCAAGCGUUGUCCGGAUUUAUUGGGCGUAAAGCGAGCGCAGGCGGUUUUUUAAGUCUGAUGUGAAAGCCUUCGGCUCAACCGAAGAAGUGCAUCGGAAACUGGGAAACUUGAGUGCAGAAGAGGACAGUGGAACUCCAUGUGUAGCGGUGAAAUGCGUAGAUAUAUGGAAGAACACCAGUGGCGAAGGCGGCUGUCUGGUCUGUAACUGACGCUGAGGCUCGAAAGUAUGGGUAGCAAACAGGAUUAGAUACCCUGGUAGUCCAUACCGUAAACGAUGAAUGCUAAGUGUUGGAGGGUUUCCGCCCUUUCAGUGCUGCAGCUAACGCAUUAAGCAUUCCGCCUGGGGAGUACGGCCGCAAGGCUGAAACUCAAAGGGAUUGACGGGGGCCCGCACAAGCGGUGGAGCAUGUGGUUUAAUUCGAAGCUACG
rnacentral:rRNA from 1 species